AGUAGAAUAAGCUAAAUUAAGCUAUUGGGUUCAUACCCCAAACAUGAGAUUUCCUCUUCUACUA
rnacentral:tRNA from 1 species